UCGGGAAUUUUGGGCAAUGGGCGAAAGCCUGACCCAGCAACGCCGCGUGAAGGAUGAAGUAUUCGGUAUGUAAACUUCGAAAGAAUAGGAAGAAUAAAUGACGGUACUAUUUAUAAGGUCCGGCUAACCACGUGCCAGCAGCCGCGGUAAUACGUAGGGACCAAGCGUUGUUCGGAUUUACUGGGCGUAAAGGGCGCGUAGGCGGCAAUUCAAGUCAUCUGUGAAAUCUCCGGGCUUAACUCGGAACGGUCAGAUGAUACUGCUUUGCUAGAGUGCAGAAGGGGCAAUCGGAAUUCUUGGUGUAGCGGUGAAAUGCGUAGAUAUCAAGAGGAACACCUGAGGUGAAGACGGGUUGCUGGGCUGACACUGACGCUGAGGCGCGAAAGCCAGGGGAGCAAACGGGAUUAGAUACCCCAGUAGUCCCUGAGCGGGCUGGCAAGGCGCAU
rnacentral:rRNA from 1 species